UACGAGGGGGCGAGCGUUGUUCGGAAUUAUUGGGCGUAAAGGGCGCGUAGGCGGUUGGAUAAGUCUUGUGUGAAAUCGUUCGGCUCCAACUCGAGUACUGCACGAGAAACUAUCUGGCUUGAGUGUGGGAGAGGUGAGUGGAAUUCCUGGUGUAGCGGUGAAAUGCGUAGAUAUCAGGAGGAACACCUGUGGCGAAAGCGGCUCUGGACCACAACUGACGCUGAGGCGCGGAAAGCGUGGGGAGCGAAGCCGG
rnacentral:rRNA from 1 species